GCCAACGGCCACUCCACGUUGAAAACACCAGUUCUCGUCCGAUCACUGAAGUUAAGCAACGUCGGGCCCGGUUAGUACUUGGAUGGGUGACCGCCUGGGAACCCCGGGUGCUGUUGGUA
rnacentral:rRNA from 1 species